UACCAGCUCCUCGAGUGGUCGGGGCGAUUAUUGGGCCUAAAGCAUCCGUAGCCGGUUCUGUAGGUCCUCUGUUAAAUCCAGCUGCUUAACAGAUGGGCUGCGGAAGAUACUAUGGAGCUAGGAGGCGGGAGAGGCAAGCGGUACUCGAUGGGUAGGGGUAAAAUCCGUUGAUCCAUUGAAGACCACCAGUGGCGAAGGCGGCUUGCCAGAACGCGCUCGACGGUGAGGGAUGAAAGCUGGGGGAGCAAACCGG
rnacentral:rRNA from 1 species